rnacentral:rRNA from 1 species
UACGUAGGGGGCGAGCGUUGUCCGGAUUUAUUGGGCGUAAAGAGCGUGUAGGCGGCCAGGUAGGUCUGCUGUGAAAACUCGAGGCUCAACCUCGAGACGUCGGCGGAAACCAUCUGGCUAGAGUCCGGGAGAGGUGAGUGGAACUGCGAGUGUAGAGGUGAAAUUCGUAGAUAUUCGCAAGAACACCAGUGGCGAAGGCGGCUCACUGGCCCGGUACUGACGCUGAGGUGCGAAAGCGUGGGGAGCAAACAGG